AUGAGCUGUACUGUUGAGAGGGUAUUUGGAGCUCUGAAGAAUAGGUUUAAGAUCCUGGAUCAGAAGCCAUUCCACCCAUACUCCACUCAGGUUAAGCUAGUUCUUGCUUGUUGCAUUCUGCACAACUGGAUCCUCCAGUGGGGCUUUGAUGAACACGUGCCUGAGGAGGAAGAUGUCGAGCCUGACAAUGUUGUUAGCUCCGGCCAUGGUGUGGAGGCAUUUGAUAAUGACGCUUGGAAGAACAAAAUGUUGGAGUGGAAAGAGGCGAUGUGGCUUAAUAGAGGUCAGUGCAGGAUUUGA
rnacentral:rRNA from 1 species